rnacentral:hammerhead_ribozyme from 1 species
GCACUGCUGAUGAGACCCAAGUAGGUCAAAACAGCUGUCCAGUGC